AUGAAAAAAAAAUGAAAAAAUGAAGUACCUAACUCAACGACGAUGAAGAAAAAAAGAAAAAAAUGGAAAAGAAAUUAACUAGCCCCGCCCACAUUAUGAUAAUAAUAACAAUAAUAAUAAUAAUAAUUGUAAUGAUGAUGAUUUGUUGAAUGACGACGGACUGGAGCAACCACCGGGGGGAAGUGUUUCCACCGCUGCGGACGACCGGGAACAAAUCUAAAUUUGGGGAAAUGGAUCUGGGGGAAGAGGAGGGGGCGGGGUUUAAAGAAAUCUCUUUCCCAGCUGGACUUCCAUCGAUCCGUCCACACUUCAUCUCUCCUCCCUCGCUCGUCCUCAGCGUCGUGUUCUGGGCUCGGGCCUGGUACCAGCUCGUUCUCUGGUGCCGUGCAGCUCUGGUUGUGUCCAUCCGCCCCGUCGCUCUUUGGUAUCGUCGAGUUGUGUCGUUGCACCUUUCCCCCCCUCUUGCGACCCUUCUUCUUUUCCGACGACUAAACUUCUCCGGGGAGUUUACGUUCACGUCGCGAGGACCGAGAACCUUCGGACUUUCUAAGACGUGUUCGGAGGCUUUGCAGAGAAAAACACAUUCUCAGACACAAAACAGUCGUAGGAGUUUUUCAGAUGAGAUUCUAGAUUUUGUACUGAAACCCUUAGGUAUAUUGCUAGAGGACUAAGUGGUUUUUUAAACAUUUGUAAUACGCUUAUUUAAAAAACCUGCAAAGCCUCGCGGAAGAGACGACGUCGCCGGCGUUCUUAGAAAGGUUCGAAAUCUCUGAUCCCUGCGUCCAAAUCUGAAGACAAACUCUUUGCAGAUUUUUUCAGAUUUGGUUUGACACAUCGACUCUCUGACCACGAGUUCACACGAGACGGUGUGAACUCGCCGAGAAAACCAAGAAGGUGACGUUUGCUGCACCGACGGCAGGAAGGAGCUCGACUGGCUCUUCAGCUCUUUCCUGCGACUGAAUAUGACCAAAUCCUUCACUUGUAAAAAGUGAAAAUAUGACAAAGGAAGAGAGACAUUUGUACAUUGGACUUCAGUCGAGAGAACAUUUUUGAAUUCAUCCCUAAAUUCAAAUUUUGUUGGAUUUGGGAAUUUAAAUUUGAGAAUUUCCAUCUACCGUGAAACCACGUCGGACGGGACGGGAGCGACUGCGUGGCGCCGCUGCUUGGCCCGGGGAAAACCAUCAGAACCCUCAGCACCAUCAGAACCAUCAGCACCAUCAGAACCAUCAGCACCAUCAGAACCCUCAGCACCAUCAGAACCAUCAGCACCAUCAGAACCAUCAGCACCAUCAGCACCAUCAGAACCCUCAGCACCAUCAGAACCAUCAGCACCAUCAGAACCAUCAGAACCAUCAGCACCAUCAGAACCAUCAGAACCCUCAGCACCAUCAGAACCAUCAGCAACAUCAGAACCAUCAGAACCAUCAGCACCAUCAGAACCAUCAGAACCAUCAGCACCAUCAGAACCAUCAGAACCCUCAGCACCAUCAGAACCAUCAGCACCAUCAGCACCAUCAGCACCCUCAGAACCAUCAGCACCAUCAGAACCAUCAGCACCAUCAGCACCAUCAGACCAUCAGAACCAUCAGAACCAUCAGAUAGCACUGGGUCUGUGCUGUGGUCCCACGUUUCUGUGGCAACCGUGCUGUCGUUAUGGGAUGGCAAAAGCUACAUGAAAGGGAGACUCUGAUUUUCAUGCCUCAUGCAUUCUUCUUUUUCCUUUUCUGGAAUAUAUAUAUAUAUCACAAAUACUCUCUGAACAUAGAGCAGUGGAGGGGAAAGUACUGAAGUCAAGAAAAGGUAAAUGAAAAGGAAUGAAGAGCACGGGAGGAACGGCAGAUUGAAAGAAAGGAGAUAUGUAGAAACAAGGAUGUAAGGAAAGAAGUAAAACAAGAGAAGGAAAAUAAAUUUGGGGAAAAUGACAAGAAACAUCUGUGAUAUCUCAUAAUCUCUAAGACAAUCUGAAUUUACCAUUGAAGCCGAUUUCAAGUGACAAAAUUGAGGAACACAAAAUUGUGUUCAACUACGUCACUUUAGCAAAAUGUACUUUCCUACAUUCCACGUUUGCAUAUACGUAUAGAGGUGUAUAUGUGUUUAUAUAUAUAUUCGCUCAUCUCAGCCAUUUCAACGUUUUUUUGUUUCAUCCGCCCGACGCGCAGCGUUUUCCUCGCCGCACUCAAAACCGUAGCAGAGACAAAGACUCGGGAGCGUUGUCGCGCGGGUUCAUUCGGUUUCCUCGUCCUCUCUUGACUCGGUGAAUUGCAUGUCCGUGGUUGGGUGAACCUGUAGUCCUGUCUUUUUUGGUCAAGUGGAAAAAAAAAUGAAUAAAAAAAAAUUUAAAAAAUAUAAUUCUCAAGUCUGCAUCCAUGGCAACUGCGGUCAAUAUUUUCAUCCCAUGUGUCACCGCCGCUCUCUCUCUCCACACCACACGUUCAUUCAAACUAACUUAAAAAAAAAGAUAAUAUGGAAAUUGAUGCAUUCAAAAUUAUAUGUACUUGUAUAAAUGGUGCAACAGUAAUAAAAUGUACGAAAUUGACUGAAACCACGGGAGUUUGUGCAAGUUUUUUUUGUCGUGUGCUUGAGACAAACAAGGGAAAUAUAAAUAUAGUUUUUACUGCCGCAGAAGGAGUUUGAGCUUCAGAUGAAGUGUCGUCUGAUUGAUCUAAACACAACAAUCAAGUUUCUGAUCCAGUUUAAAGUGAAUGGAAGGUCGAACAUUUUGUUUUAAUAGUCUGCAUUAGUGAGGUAUGGAAGAGUAUCAGGGCACAAGAACAAACAAUGAGGGGGAAGAUUUAGUUAUAUUUAUUCAACAUUUUGAAAUGUGGAGAUUAAAGUUGAAAUAGUCCUAAACGUCCGUGUUGUGGUUCCAGUUCAGCUGUCACACGUCCACGUUAGCUAACGUUAGCAAAGCUACGCUAACAGCGAGCCUCUCAAAAUUCACUAACGGUUGUUUGCAGGUGAACGUGGUCGUGUCAGGACGCACGUCGACGUUCAUGUUGCAAACACCCGUCGUCACCACAUCGUCUCUUCCAGAUUCAGCCUGUCAAUAAUAAUAUCGCAACUUUGCAACUUGGUUGUAGCUAGCGUUAGCUUAGCAAACUGGCUAACAAACAUCAACAUCCGGUUGUUUGGUGCUGAAAAGUGCUUCAGGGUCACAAUGUUCGACUUUGUUAUCGAAAUGCAAGAUAUAAAAAAUCUUGAUUAAGACUAACCCUUGAUUCGUCUCUUCCUGAAUCGCUCUCUCGGCUCCUUCCCCCUCUUCUCUCUCUGCUUUUGGUGCGACUGCUCUUUGAAGCCUGCGUGAGGAACCGGUUUCAAAGCGUCCGUGUCAUUUAGCUUCCUGACUGUGCUCAGGUUCUUCACCGGCCUCCAUCGCGCUCCGUCUUCAAAGCUCCCGUUGUUGUGGGGGAGGAUCAGAAACCCUGAGACAAAGAGAGGGAACGAGACGGAGGCGACGCUUUUGUGGGACGAUCAGUCAGAUCCUGCAUCCCGCGGAGAGGAGGGGGCCCCCGGGGGCCGAACGUGGGGAAUCCGCCCGGCGUCGGUUGCUCGGGCGACUGACGGCGACGAUCUGCACCAGGCGUCCGCGUGACGGCGAUCGGACGCGUUUCAGGUCGCAGGAGACGAGACUGUCACGCUGAGCUGGAGAUGUUUCAGCGCCGCUGACACGGAGGCCUCGGGUGAAUCACGGGUCCUGAAACGCAGAGCGUGAGAUGACGAAAUGUGAAGUGAAAUGAAGACGAGCCCUGGGGACGAACCGCCUCCGCUUCAUCGCAGUGAAGUUGGGGAAGAAAAUACAGUAUGUUGAGUUUAAGAGGAAUCAUCAGGUGUAUACAGGGCGUUGAAUGAACGGUGUUGAUCAGUAACUUGGCUAGUGGAUUUUUAAACUUUCCAGCCAAUCAGAUUUUCCACUAGCCAAAUUUUAGCCAAAAAUCAGUGCCACUGAAGAUAUUUCAGCACUUUUUUAGUUUUUUUCCGAACUAUCGUUAACUUUACUACUUAAUUCUUCGGCUCCUUUGUUUUGUUUCGUGUCGUUCCGUUCGUCUUCUUCGUUUCAGCGUAGCUCGCUCGCAAUCGAUACCACGCACGCUAUAGUCACGUAGCUAAACCACACUUCCCUUAUCUGAAUUUCCACACCAGGCUCAGCUAUUUAUUACUUCUCAUACAGGAUUGUAUGAGAAAUU
rnacentral:lncRNA from 1 species